rfam:Heterocephalus glaber contig226166, whole genome shotgun sequence.
UUUCUCUGCGGCCGGCGGCCUUGCGGGCCCUGGCAACGGGACAACUUCCCGAGGCCGACCUGUCUGCUGCUCACGCUGUGACGGGUUUCCGACUCACCUCUCUCCGCGGAGGCCCCCGCAGCCCGGCGGGCUCGGGCCUCAGGUAACGCCCGU